rnacentral:rRNA from 1 species
CCUACGGGAGGCAGCAGUGAGGAAUAUUGGACAAUGGGCGCAAGCCUGAUCCAGCCAUGCCGCGUGCGGGAAGAAGCAUCUAUGGUGUGUAAAUUGCUUUUGUACAGGAAGAAACACUCCCUCGUGAGGGAGCUUGACGGUACUGUAAGAAUAAGGACCGGCUAACUCCGUGCCAGCAGCCGCGGUAAUACGGAGGGUCCGAGCGUUAUCCGGAAUCAUUGGGUUUAAAGGGCCGUAGGCGGUUUAAUAAGUCAGUGGUGAAAUCUGGUCGCUCAACGAUCAAACGGCCAUUGAUACUGUUAGACUUGAAUUAUAAAGAAGUAACUAGAAUAUGUAGUGUAGCGGUGAAAUGCUUAGAUAUUACAUGGAAUACCAAUUGCGAAGGCAGGUUACUACUUAUGGAUUGACGCUGAUGGACGAAAGCGUGGGGANCGAACAGGAUUAGAUACCCUGGUAGUCCACGCCGUAAACGAUGGAUACUAGCUGUUCGGUAGACAUCUGAGUGGUGUAGACGAAGUAGAUAAGUAUACCACCUACGGGAGGUACGUUCGUCGAGAAGAGUAAACGUUAAAGUAGUAAGUUAGUACGGACGUGAGACGUAGACCGAACGGACGACGACGAGGGGAGGGUUAGGGAG